rnacentral:rRNA from 1 species
CCUACGGGAGGCAGCAGUGAGGAAUAUUGGUCAAUGGCCGGAAGGCUGAACCAGCCAAGCCGCGUGAAGGACGAAGGUGCCAAGCAUUGUAAACUUCUUUUGUCAAGGGACACAAUCAGGCUCGAGAGCCUGACCGAGGGUACUUUACGAAACAGCAUCGGCUAACUCCGUUCCAGCAGCCGCGGUAAUACGGAGGAUGCGAGCGUUAUCCGGAUUUAUUGGGUUUAAAGGGUGCGUAGGCGGAUUGUUAAGUCAGCGGUAAAAGCCCGGGGCUCAACCCCGGCGAGCCGUUGAUACUGGCUAUCUUGAGAUGGAGAGAGGUAUGCGGAAUUCGCAGUGAAGCGGUGAAAUGCGUAGAUAUGUCGAAGAACUCCGAUGGCGAAGGCAGCAUACCGGCGGCGAUCUGACGCUGAGGCACGAAAGCGUGGGUAUCGAACAGGAUUAGAUACCCUAGUAGUC